rnacentral:rRNA from 1 species
AGUGCAUCAGGCGGAUGCCUUGGCGAUGAUAGGCGACGAAGGACGUGUAAGCCUGCGAAAAGCGCGGGGGAGCUGGCAAUAAAGCUAUGAUUCCGCGAUGUCCGAAUGGGGAAACCCACUGCAUUCUGUGCAGUAUCCUAAGUUGAAUACAUAGGCUUAGAGAAGCGAACCCGGAGAACUGAACCAUCUAAGUACCCGGAGGAAAAGAAAUCAACCGAGAUUCCGCAAGUAGUGGCGAGCGAACGCGGAGGAGCCUGUACGUAAUAACUGUCGAGAUAGAAGAACAAGCUGGGAAGCUUGACCAUAGCGGGUGACAGUCCCGUAUUCGAAAUCUCAACAGCGGUACUAAGCGUACGAAAAGUAGGGCGGGACACGUGAAAUCCUGUCUGAAUAUGGGGGGACCAUCCUCCAAGGCUAAAUACUCAUCAUCGACCGAUAGUGAACCAGUACCGUGAGGGAAAGGCGAAAAGAACCCCGGGAGGGGAGUGAAACAGAACCUGAAACCUGAUGCAUACAAACAGUGGGAGCGCCCUAGUGGUGUGACUGCGUACCUUUUGUAUAAUGGGUCAACGACUUACAUUCAGUAGCGAGCUUAACCGGAUAGGGGAGGCGUAGGGAAACCGAGUCUUAAUAGGGCGAUGAGUUGCUGGGUGUAGACCCGAAACCGAGUGAUCUAUCCAUGGCCAGGUUGAAGGUGCCGUAACAGGUACUGGAGGACCGAACCCACGCAUGUUGCAAAAUGCGGGGAUGAGCUGUGGGUAGGGGUGAAAGGCUAAACAAACUCGGAGAUAGCUGGUUCUCCCCGAAAACUAUUUAGGUAGUGCCUCGAGCAAGACACUGAUGGGGGUAAAGCACUGUUAUGGCUAGGGGGUUAUUGCAACUUACCAACCCAUGGCAAACUCAGAAUACCAUCAAGUGGUUCCUCGGGAGACAGACAGCGGGUGCUAACGUCCGUUGUCAAGAGGGAAACAACCCAGACCGCCGGCUAAGGUCCCAAAUGAUAGAUUAAGUGGUAAACGAAGUGGGAAGGCACAGACAGCCAGGAUGUUGGCUUAGAAGCAGCCAUCAUUUAAAGAAAGCGUAAUAGCUCACUGGUCGAGUCGUCCUGCGCGGAAGAUGUAACGGGGCUCAAAUCUAUAACCGAAGCUGCGGAUGCCGGUUUACCGGCAUGGUAGGGGAGCGUUCUGUAGGCUGAUGAAGGUGCAUUGUAAAGUGUGCUGGAGGUAUCAGAAGUGCGAAUGUUGACAUGAGUAGCGAUAAAGCGGGUGAAAAGCCCGCUCGCCGAAAGCCCAAGGUUUCCUACGCAACGUUCAUCGGCGUAGGGUGAGUCGGCCCCUAAGGCGAGGCAGAAAUGCGUAGUCGAUGGGAAACAGGUUAAUAUUCCUGUACUUGAUUCAAAUGCGAUGUGGGGACGGAGAAGGUUAGGUUGGCAAGCUGUUGGAAUAGCUUGUUUAAGCCGGUAGGUGGAAGACUUAGGCAAAUCCGGGUUUUCUUAACACCGAGAAGUGAUGACGAGUGUCUACGGACACGAAGCAACCGAUACCACGCUUCCAGGAAAAGCCACUAAGCUUCAGUUUGAAUCGAACCGUACCGCAAACCGACACAGGUGGGCAGGAUGAGAAUUCUAAGGCGCUUGAGAGAACUCGGGAGAAGGAACUCGGCAAAUUGAUACCGUAACUUCGGGAGAAGGUAUGCCCUCUAAGGUUAAGGACUUGCUCCGUAAGCCCCGGAGGGUCGCAGAGAAUAGGUGGCUGCGACUGUUUAUUAAAAACACAGCACUCUGCCAACACGAAAGUGGACGUAUAGGGUGUGACGCCUGCCCGGUGCCGGAAGGUUAAUUGAAGAUGUGCAAGCAUCGGAUCGAAGCCCCGGUAAACGGCGGCCGUAACUAUAACGGUCCUAAGGUAGCGAAAUUCCUUGUCGGGUAAGUUCCGACCCGCACGAAUGGCGUAACGAUGGCCACACUGUCUCCUCCCGAGACUCAGCGAAGUUGAAGUGGUUGUGAAGAUGCAAUCUACCCGCUGCUAGACGGAAAGACCCCGUGAACCUUUACUGUAGCUUUGCAUUGGACUUUGAAGUCACUUGUGUAGGAUAGGUGGGAGGCUUGGAAGCAGAGACGCCAGUCUCUGUGGAGUCGUCCUUGAAAUACCACCCUGGUGUCUUUGAGGUUCUAACCCAGACCCGUCAUCCGGGUCGGGGACCGUGCAUGGUAGGCAGUUUGACUGGGGCGGUCUCCUCCCAAAGCGUAACGGAGGAGUUCGAAGGUUACCUAGGUCCGGUCGGAAAUCGGACUGAUAGUGCAAUGGCAAAAGGUAGCUUAACUGCGAGACCGACAAGUCGGGCAGGUGCGAAAGCAGGACAUAGUGAUCCGGUGGUUCUGUAUGGAAGGGCCAUCGCUCAACGGAUAAAAGGUACUCCGGGGAUAACAGGCUGAUUCCGCCCAAGAGUUCAUAUCGACGGCGGAGUUUGGCACCUCGAUGUCGGCUCAUCACAUCCUGGGGCUGUAGUCGGUCCCAAGGGUAUGGCUGUUCGCCAUUUAAAGUGGUACGUGAGCUGGGUUUAAAACGUCGUGAGACAGUUUGGUCUCUAUCUGCAGUGGGCGUUGGAAGUUUGACGGGGGCUGCUCCUAGUACGAGAGGACCGGAGUGGACGAACCUCUGGUGUACCGGUUGUAACGCCAGUUGCAUAGCCGGGUAGCUAAGUUCGGAAGAGAUAAGCGCUGAAAGCAUCUAAGCGCGAAACUCGCCUGAAGAUGAGACUUCCCUUGCGGUUUAACCGCACUAAAGGGUCGUUCGAGACCAGGACGUUGA